CCUGGGACACCAGGUGGGUUAUUCCCCUCUAAUCAGGGACUGAUUUAGACCUGGGACACCAGGUGGGUGAUUCCCCUCUAAUCAGGGCCUGGUUUAGACCUGGGACACCAGGUGGGUUAUUCCCCUCUAAUCAGGGACUGAUUUAGACCUGGGACACCAGGUGGGUGAUUCCCCUCUAAUCAGGGCCUGGUUUAGACCUGGGACACCAGGUGGGUUAUUCCCCUCUAAUCAGGGCCUGGUUUAGACCUGGGACACCAGGUGGGUUAUUCCCCUCUAAUCAGGGCCUGGUUUAGACCUGGGACACCAGGUGGGUUAUUCCCCUCUAAUCAGGGCCUGGUUUAGACCUGGGACACCAGGUGGGUUAUUCCCCUCUAAUCAGGGCCUGAUUUAGACCUGGGACACCAGGUGGGUUAUUCCCCUCUAAUCAGGGCCUGAUUUAGACCUGGGACACCAGGUGGGUUAUUCCCCUCUAAUCAGGGCCUGAUUUAGACCUGGGACACCAGGUGGGUUAUUCCCCUCUAAUCAGGGCCUGAUUUAGACCUGGGACACCAGGUGGGUUAUUCCCCUCUAAUCAGGGCCUGAUUUAGACCUGGGACACCAGGUGGGUUAUUCCCCUCUAAUCAGGGACUGAUUUAGACCUGGGACACCAGGUGGGUUAUUCCCCUCUAAUCAGGGCCUGGUUUAGACCUGGGACACCAGGUGGGUUAUUCCCCUCUAAUCAGGGCCUGGUUUAGACCUGGGA